rnacentral:rRNA from 1 species
ACGCUAGCGGCAGGCUUAACACAUGCAAGUCGAGGGGUAACAGGGAGUGCUUGCACUCUGCUGACGACCGGCGCACGGGUGCGUAACGCGUAUGCAACCUACCUUCUACAGGGGGAUAGUCCAGAGAAAUUUGGCAUAAUACCCCAUACGAUCAUUUAUUGGCAUCGAUAGAUGAGGAAAACUCCGGUGGUAGAAGAUGGGCAUGCGUCCUAUUAGUUAGUUGGUAAGGUAACGGCUUACCAAGACAUCGAUAGGUAGGGGUCCUGAGAGGGAGAUCCCCCACACUGGUACUGAGACACGGACCAGACUCCUACGGGAGGCAGCAGUGAGGAAUAUUGGACAAUGGAGGCAACUCUGAUCCAGCCAUGCCGCGUGCAGGAAGACGGCCCUACGGGUUGUAAACUGCUUUUAUACAGGAAGAAACGCCGCUACGUGUAGCGGUUUGACGGUACUGUACGAAUAAGGAUCGGCUAACUCCGUGCCAGCAGCCGCGGUAAUACGGAGGAUCCAAGCGUUAUCCGGAAUCAUUGGGUUUAAAGGGUCCGUAGGCGGUUUUUUAAGUCAGAGGUGAAAUCCUGCAGCUCAACUGUAGCAUUGCCUUUGAUACUGAAAGACUUGAGUUAUUGUGAAGUAGUUAGAAUGUGUAGUGUAGCGGUGAAAUGCAUAGAUAUUACACAGAAUACCGAUUGCGAAGGCAGAUUACUAACAAUAUACUGACGCUGAGGGACGAAAGCGUGGGUAGCGAACAGGAUUAGAUACCCUGGUAGUCCACGCCGUAAACGAU